CGAGGAGGGUUAACUCCGUGACGCGGCCGGGCCAAGCGUGGAGCAGUUUUGAGGGGGAAAUUCCCCCUCCUCUGGGGCACCAUGAGUAUGAGCAGCGGCUGCCCCGGCCCUCUGUUUCCGGCUUCUCCGACUACCCAGGUCCCUCCCUGGAGCUCUGACGACACAGAGAAGAGAAAGUGGGCUGGAGGAGGAAGAGGAAGAAAGUGGGGAAGGUGAGGAGCACGUACCGGUAGUGAAAUAACACGUAUCAUCUUCUCUAACGGAUCGCACUGGUGGGGUGCUGUGAGGCCAUCGAAGGAUUCAGAGGCAUAUCUCACAUCGGUCUGACUCCACUUAAAAGCUUUGUGACUGUGGGUCAAGCCCUCAAACGGAGAGCCUGCACUCUAGAACCCAUGAGCCACAAGUACUGAGCCCACGUUCCACAACUACUGAAGCCCACACACCUAGAGCCCGUGCUCCACAACAAGAGAAGCCACCGUAAUGAGAAGCCCGUGCACCACAAUGAAGAGUAGCCCCUGCUCGCCACAACGAGAGAAAGCCGGCGCGCAACGAAGACCCAAUG